rnacentral:rRNA from 1 species
UGCGUAGGCGGUUUGAUCAGUCAGUGGUGAAAGUUUGCAGCUUAACUGUAAAAUUGCCAUUGAUACUGUCAGACUUGAGUACAGAUGAGGUAGGCGGAAUGUGUAGUGUAGCGGUGAAAUGCUUAGAUAUUACACAGAACACCGAUUGCGAAGGCAGCUUACUAAACUGUCGCUGACGCUGAGGCACGAAAGUGUGGGGAUCAAACAGGAUUAGAUACCCUGGUAGUCC